rfam:Ixodes scapularis strain Wikel colony gcontig_1108379313222, whole genome shotgun sequence.
UCCUGGUUAGCUCAGUUAGUAGAGCGCUCUACUAGAAAUGGAGAGGUCCCUGGUUCGAUACCAGGACCAGGCA